GUGUGUGUGUGAUGACAUUCAUCCAUUUACUUCAGAGACCACCUCUCUCUGUCGGAGAUAUAAGACGGGAGUCGAUGAACAUUUUCCAGUCUGAAGAUUCUUUAGAUCUACAUCGGUGAGAGUUCUGCUCUUCUUAGCUUUUCCGACCUGCUUCUUCAAGGUGUAGCUGUGAUUUAUUCCAGGAAACCAGUUACCUUUCUCUCCAGGCGUCGACUCAACUCUUUGGACUGUUUGAAGAAACUAUAAACAUGAAGAUCUCUAUCUUUGCUGGUGUUCUGCUGCUCUCUGCUGCCAUGCUCUCUGUGGAUGGACUAGAUCCAAGAGUUCAGAAGUUUAUAAAUCAGCAUAUCAAACCAGAA